GCCUAGCCCUGAUAGUCCCGAAGUAUCGGGAGACAUCCUUUUCCUUCCGCCUUUUCGGCGGAUAUAAAGAUUGUAACGGAUAGCAGGAAAAAGC
rnacentral:sRNA from 1 species